UUCAACAUUGCAGUACAAAUUUUUGUGACAUUUGGACCUCUAUUUAUUAACGAAAACAAGUAAACACAAUUUUUGUGUUUACUUGUGACAUCAACACACAUACACACAUACAGAAUAUGCACACAUAUAAUGAAUGUCAUGGCAUGUCAAUCAACACAAGCAUACAUCCACUAUCUGUGACAUAUACACACACAUAGUCCUUGCUUCUCUAAGGAAAGGAAAACGUUGACUUUUUGACACACACAGUAUUUUAAUUAUUUAGAAAUAUUUUUCAGUGAAUGUGAUUUCGAAAAUCGUGCCAAUGCAAAGUGCAGCCACACCAUGGUGAAGCAGAAGUGUGAUAAUAGAAAAGUGAGGACAUUAAAGCAUUGAAGAGGAAAAAUGAAACUGUCAUUGCAGUUUUUGCAAAAGAUGGCAGGCAGCAACGGAGAAUAAUUUUCAUCGUCAUUGUUAACAUCAAUAUUAUUAUUAUUAAUUUAAUUUAAGUAAUUUAAAUACUGUGUGAUCAAUGUUUGUUUAGUUUGUGAGUGACUUGUAUAAACAGGGAGAGUGUAUAUGUGUAGAGAUGGAAAUGUGUAUGUGAUUUGUGCUUGUACUUAUAGCACUCUUUAGUAAAACCAAGGGAGACCCUAGAUCUUCGAACAAAAACCGGUGACCCUGACCAAGCCACCACAAAAACUGACGACCUCGAACACACUGUCGUUAUAACUAUUCAAGCUUGACAGCCAUCUUACACAAUGACUGAAUUCCGUGCGUAUAGUGAAGAUCAAAUACGCCUUCGAACAAUGAACCUUCUACACAUCCUGAAUAAAUACUGAUGCACAAUCAUCUCAGCCAUCUUUACAUCUCAGCCAUCUUUACAUACUGUGCAUAAAAGUUUUUUCUGUUGAAAAAUUCAAAUGCAGAGGUUUUUUUUAUCACUGAUUUUCCACUUUGAGUCAUUUGGAGUGUGAGAAGUUUUCGACGUUCACCUAUUACCAACGACCCUAUUUUGGGCUUCCAAGAGUCCUCCGUAGACAGUUGAAUUAAAGUAUAAUUCUGAGAAAUAGUGGUCUAUUUUGGUCAAUAAAAAUUAAUUUGUGCAAUGAA